CCAGGCCCAUUGGAGCAGCAACUCACAAGCCAACACUUGAGUCACUAAAUGCAAAUUGUUCUUGUCCAGGUGUGAGAAGGGGAGAUUCCAGCAGCCAGAGAAGAUUUCUCCUGAAGUGGAAAACAAACUCUGUGAUUUCUCCCAGAAAACUGUUGCUCUAAUGAAGACUCUGAGGAAGUUCAAAGACAUGCUGCCCUCUGCACUGAAGAGAGCAAGAGGAAAAUACCUGGGAGCUUUCAGACAGGCGACUGUGACUCUGGAUCCAGACACGGCCC